GUUUAUCUAAACAUUUUUUGGAAUAUCAUGAUGGAGACCCAGCAGGCCUGGAUUUUUUUGCAAUAGAUCAUAUUAAAAUACACUGGAGAGGGGGUGAUAAGGAUAAUCUUUUAAGCAAAAAUGAGAUGAAAUGGAUUUUUAAUUUGGAUACACUUACACCGGGGGGAUUAAACGUAGAUUUUGAAAUUAACACUUAUAUUUAACUAUAAUU